AAAAAAUAAUAUUUGUGACUCUAUUCUUUAUUUGUGACUCAAGGUUCAGGAACAAAUCACCAUUGCUUUUGAGUGAACCUCUAUUCUUUAUUUGUGACUCAAGGUUCAGUUAAUGAUGGAAAAAAU
rfam:Lupinus angustifolius cultivar Tanjil chromosome LG19, whole genome shotgun sequence.